rnacentral:rRNA from 1 species
UACGAGAGGCCCAAACGUUAUUCGGAAUUACUGGGCUUAAAGAGUCCGUAGGCGGCGCGGAAAGUGGGGUGUGAAAGCCCUCGGCUCAACCGAGGAAUUGCGCUCCAAACUACCGUGCUUGAGGAACCUAGAGGUGAGCAGAACUGAUGGUGGAGCGGUGAAAUGCGUUGAUAUCAUCAGGAAUACCGGAGGCGAAGGCGGCUCACUGGGGGUUUUCUGACGCUGAGGGACGAAAGCCAGGGUAGCGAACGGG